CCGCCUGUGGCUGAGAGAUUUUUUAACAGAGUUAGCAAAUCGCUAAUUACAAUGGCCACUCCACGGCGGCGGCUUCUUCUUCUCCUCCUCCUCCUCUUCGUUUUUUCAGAUUCAUUAGUUAGCACGGCACGCAGCCAAGGAGUGGGGAUAAACUACGGCCAAAUCGCAAAUAACCUCCCGGCCCCGUCGCGCGUGGUCCACCUCCUCAACUCCCUCAACAUAACCCGAGUCAAGCUCUACGACGCCGACCCCAUCGUCCUGUCAGCAUUCGCCUCGUCGCCGGUCGAAUUCGUGAUCGGACUAGGCAACGAGCACCUACAGCAGAUGACCGAUCCGUCCCUCGCCCAAGCCUGGAUCCAAACCCACGUCCAACCCUACAUCUCCCGCACCAAAAUCAACUGCAUAACCGUCGGGAACGAAAUAUUAACCGGCAACGACUCCCAACUAAUAUCGAACCUCCUCCCUGCAAUGGAGACCGUUAGUGGGGCCCUCGUGAAUCUCGGUUUAAGUGAUAAAAUUUACGUCACGACCGCUCACUCGUACGGAGUCUUGAGCAACUCGUUUCCGCCUUCUUCCGGAACCUUCCGCCAGGAUUUGGUGCCGUAUAUUCAACCCAUUCUUGAAUUUCAUGCAAGGACGAAAUCGCCCUUCCUUAUAAAUGCGUACCCGUUUUUCGCGUAUAAAGACAAUCCGGGAGAGGUGUCGCUCGAUUACGUGCUCUUUCGGCCGAAUGCUGGCUCGAUCGACCCUGUUACGAAUUUGCAUUACGAUAAUAUGUUGUACGCGCAGAUCGAUGCGGUUUAUUCGGCGAUUCGAUUGUUGGGGCACACCGAUAUACAGGUUAAGGUUUCGGAAACGGGGUGGCCUUCGAAGGGGGAUGUGAAUGAAGUGGGGGCCACACCAGAAAACGCUCAGUUGUACAACGGGAAUUUGAUUAACAGAAUAGCGUUGAACGAGGGGACUCCAGCGAAGCCAUCGGUGCCGAUCGAUGUGUUCUUUUUUGCGCUAUUUAACGAGGAUUUGAAGCCGGGGCCCGCUUCCGAGAGGAACUACGGGUUGUAUUAUCCGGACGGUACCCCAGUGUAUAAUAUUGGGUUGCAGGGUUUUCUUCCGCGAAUGAGUUAUUCGUUUUCCGCGAAAAAUGUUAUACUUCUAUUCAAUUUCUUCGUUCCGGUAGCUUUAUUUUUAUGUUUGUCAUAGCUCGAUAUUUAUUUAACUGGUGGCAACGAUAGAGAAGGGAGUUCGGAAAUGUCGAGGUUCUUCAGUGGGGAAAUUUUGUAAGGUAAAGAUGUCGAACUAGAUGUGAAGAGAGAGAUUUCGCCAUGCAGCUCAGAGCAGAUUUUCAUACUUGUAGAUUUUUUAGAUAUUUUUAGAUUUAAUAGCUGAUUCAUUGGAUAGAGAUUAGAAAAUAAAAAAAAAGCGUGUUUCUCAUUCGGGUAGAAAGAGUUGUAUAAUAUUAUUAUUGCAGUUCAAUGUAUUUGAUUGUGUUCUUCAUACAA